rnacentral:rRNA from 1 species
UACGGAGGGUGCGAGCGUUAUCCGGAAUUACUGGGUUUAAAGGGUGCGUAGGCUGCGAUACAAGUCAGACGUUAAAUGCGCUAGCUUAACUAGCGACUUCUUUUGAAACUGUAUUGCUUGAAUUAGGUUGAGGACAGCGGAAUGUGGCAUGUAGCGGUGAAAUGCAUAGAUAUGCCAUAGAACACCGAUUGCGAAGGCAGCUGUCUGGGCCUCAAUUGACGCUGAUGCACGAAAGCGUGGGUAGCGAACAGG